GUUUCCUUUCAUUGCCUGUGAAAUCUUCACAUGUGAGAUUGAAAUGAUACUGAAAACACUAGUCGAGGAUGAGGAGUUGAUGCUAUUGCUGUUUUCGUUCUUAGAAGAUAAAGAAACCCAUAACUCAUUGCUUGCCGGGUACUUCAGCAAGGUAUUUAGCACUCAACAAUUUUUUAUUGUCAGAAAACUCAUUGAGAACUUUCGCUUGCUUUUAUAGGGCUCUAUAGAGUAUCUUCAACGUAUACUCUCUUACAUCUUCUAUUACAGGUUGUCAUUUGUCUGCUGGUGCGGAAGACGAUCCCUUUCAUGCAAUUUAUAAAAGAUCAUCAAGAAAUACUGAAGCAGCUUGUUGAUUUAAUUGGUAUUACAUCUAUAAUGGAGGUGGGUUUACUUUUUUAUAUGUGUUAUUGGAACUCCUGAUCUAGGCUCUUAUGUUUUACUUAAACUAAAACAAACACAUCAAAAUCUUGAUG